rnacentral:rRNA from 1 species
AUGUGGCUGAAGAGCAAGAGGAAGAACUUGUGUGUAGGCCAUGGAAAUCUUGUUGAUCUCUCGGUUAAGCUUGUUCAAACAGGAAUACAUAUAGUUCAUCAUUUGGUGUACUUGCUUCUAAAAUUGGUAUUGAUUCUACCGGUGGCAACAUCAGAUGUUGAGAGAGCAUUUUCUACCAUGAGUAUAGUCAAGAACAAGUUGAGAAAUAAGAUGGUGACAGUCUUUUCGAUGAUUGCCUAG